rnacentral:rRNA from 1 species
UUGGUAGUCAUUAUGCUUGUCUCAAAGAUUAAGCCAUGCAUGUCUAAGUAUAAGCAAUUAUACCGUGAAACUGCGAAUGGCUCAUUAAAUCAGUUAUCGUUUAUUUGAUAGUACCUUACUACUUGGAUAACCGUGGUAAUUCUAGAGCUAAUACAUGCUGAAAACCCCGACUUACGAAGGGGUGUAUUUAUUAGAUAAAAAACCAACGCCCUUCGGGGCUUCUUGGUGAUUCAUGAUAACUUUACGGAUCGCAUGGCCUUGCGCCGGCGACGGUUCAUUCAAAUUUCUGCCCUAUCAACUUUCGAUGGUAAGGUAUUGGCUUACCAUGGUUUCAACGGGUAACGGGGAAUGGGGCGGGGGCGGCGGGCCGGGCGCGGGGCGCGGCGGGCAA